AUAUGUUUUUCGGAAUAUAUAUUAGUGGCGCACGGGUGAGUAACACGUACAUAACUUCGCCCUCAAGCGGGGGAUAGCCUUGGGAAACUGAGAGUAAUACCCCAUACGAAUUAUUGGACGGCAUCGUUUGAUAAUUAAAACUACGGUGCUUGGGGAUAGAUGUGCGUCUGAUUAGCUAGUUGGUGAGGUAACUGCUCCACCAAGGACGACGAUCAGUAGGGGGGCGUGAGAGCGUGGCCCCCCACACGGGUACUGAGACACGGACCCGACUCCUACGGGAGGCAGCAGUAAGGAAUAUUGGUCCAAUGGAGGGAACUCUGAACCAGCCAUGCCGCGUGAAGGAUGACGGACCCUCUGGGUUGUAAACUUCUUUUGGAUGGGGCGAAAAAACGGGAUUUAUCCUGGACUGACGGUACCAUCAGAAUAAGCACCGGCUAACUCCGUG
rnacentral:rRNA from 1 species